rnacentral:misc_RNA from 1 species
AAGUCGUAACAAGGUUUCCGUAGGUGAACCUGCGGAAGGAUCAUUCAUGUGAAUCUAAAAAACACACCUUUGUGAACUUAGUAAAUAUGACUGCUUGCUUUUUUUCAUAUAUGGUUUUAUGUUUUUGUGGGCUGCGUUAUUUCUAUUUGCUGAGGGGUUUUUGUUAGUUGCUUUGUCUGAAUUGCAACCGAUAAAAACUCUCUAGUGUAAAAAUGAAAAAUGCUACCUAAAAUUGUCUUACUAAAAGUUUUAUAAAAUUCUUUACCAAAACAAAGUGUAUAUAAACAUUUAUUACAACUUUUAACGAUGGAUCCCUCGGCUCUCA